rnacentral:lncRNA from 1 species
GAAUUGGAAAGCAGUCUAUAUACUUUAAAGACAUGUCUCGAGGCCGUCCUUGGGAUCGAAGCAGACCCAACAGCCAUUUUCUUGAUUGACUGAGAAGGGUAUUCCGCCCUAUUGGUCUUCGGGAUUAUGGUCGAAGCAGAGUAGAUGAAGACCCAACAGCCAUUUUCCUGAUUGAUUGACUGAGAAGGGUAUUCUGCCCUAUUGGUCUUCGGGAUUAUGGUCGAAGCAGAGUAGAUGAAGAUCCAACAGCCAUUUUCUUGAUUGACCGAGGAAGGUACUUCACCCUAUUGGUCUUUGGGAUUAUGGUCACAACAGACGAAUAAACUGAUCCAGGGAGCAUGCACCUCAGAAUACAAAUAAGGCAUUUUGCCUUGAGUAUCCUCACCACAGUGACAGAAAGUUUCA